rnacentral:rRNA from 1 species
CGCUAGCUACAGGCUUAACACAUGCAAGUCGAGGGGAAACGAACAUCGAAAGCUUGCUUUUGAUGGGCGUCGACCGGCGCACGGGUGAGUAACGCGUAUCCAACCUGCCCACCACUUGGGGAUAACCUUGCGAAAGUAAGACUAAUACCCAAUGACGUCUCUAGAAGACAUCUGAAAGAGAUUAAAGAUUUAUCGGUGAUGGAUGGGGAUGCGUCUGAUUAGCUUGUUGGCGGGGUAACGGCCCACCAAGGCUACGAUCAGUAGGGGUUCUGAGAGGAAGGUCCCCCACAUUGGAACUGAGACACGGUCCAAACUCCUACGGGAGGCAGCAGUGAGGAAUAUUGGUCAAUGGACGAGAGUCUGAACCAGCCAAGUAGCGUGCAGGAUGACGGCCCUAUGGGUUGUAAACUGCUUUUAUAAGGGAAUAAAGUGAGUCUCGUGAGACUUUUUGCAUGUACCUUAUGAAUAAGGACCGGCUAAUUCCGUGCCAGCAGCCGCGGUAAUACGGAAGGUCCGGGCGUUAUCCGGAUUUAUUGGGUUUAAAGGGAGCGUAGGCCGGAGAUUAAGCGUGUUGUGAAAUGUAGAUGCUCAACAUCUGAACUGCAGCGCGAACUGGUUUCCUUGAGUACGCACAAAGUGGGCGGAAUUCGUGGUGUAGCGGUGAAAUGCUUAGAUAUCACGAAGAACUCCGAUUGCGAAGGCAGCUCACUGGAGCGCAACUGACGCUGAAGCUCGAAAGUGCGGGUAUCGAACAGGAUUAGAUACCCUGGUAGUCCGCACGGUAAACGAUGGAUGCCCGCUGUUGGUCUGAAUAGGUCAGCGGCC